AUUGAACGCUGGCGGAAUGCUUUACACAUGCAAGUCGAACGAUGAACCUUAGCUUGCUAAGGGGAUUAGUGGCGAACGGGUGAGUAAUAUAUCGGAACGUACCUUGUAAUGGGGGAUAACUAGUCGAAAGAUUAGCUAAUACCGCAUACGCCCUGAGGGGGAAAGUAGGGGAUCUUCGGACCUUACGUUAUAAGAGCGGCCGAUAUCUGAUUAGCUAGUUGGUGGGGUAAUGGCCUACCAAGGCGACGAUCAGUAGCUGGUCUGAGAGGACGACCAGCCACACUGGAACUGAGACACGGUCCAGACUCCUACGGGAGGCAGCAGUGGGGAAUUUUGGACAAUGGGCGCAAGCCUGAUCCAGCCAUUCCGCGUGAGUGAAGAAGGCCUUCGGGUUGUAAAGCUCUUUCGCAAGGGAAGAAAACUUACAUUCUAAUAAAGUGUGAGGCUGACGGUACCUUGAUAAGAAGCACCGGCUAACUACGUG
rnacentral:rRNA from 1 species